rnacentral:lncRNA from 1 species
AUUUACCUAAAAAGUUUAGCUUUUGAAAGGGGGUAUAUAGAUUCGUCCCAUCGUUACCAUGCCACUUCAUAUGCAGGCAAUGGGCCAAGCAAGUAGAAUAUUUUAAAGAAUAAAAUGCCUUUCAUGUGCUAGGUGCCAAAUCAUAUCACAAUUGUUUCCAAAGUUUUAAGAUAUCAAGAUGUGAAGAGAUAUAGCCCCCAUUUUGUGGAAAUAAAAAUGGGUGGAAUAAUGUUUUUUUUUUUUUAAAU